rnacentral:rRNA from 1 species
AACCGGAUUAGAUACCCUGGUAGUCCACGCCCUAAACGAUGUCUACUAGUUGUCGGGUUUUAAUUAACUUGGUAACGCAGCUAACGCGUGAAGUAGACCGCCUGGGGAGUACGGUCGCAAGAUUAAAACUCAAAGGAAUUGACGGGGACCCGCACAAGCGGUGGAUGAUGUGGAUUAAUUCGAUGCAACGCGAAAAACCUUACCUACCCUUGACAUGUACGGAAGACCGAAGAGAUUUGGUUGUGCUCGAAAGAGAACCGUAACACAGGUGCUGCAUGGCUGUCGUCAGCUCGUGUCGUGAGAUGUUGGGUUAAGUCCCGCAACGAGCGCAACCCUUGUCAUUAGUUGCUACAUUUAGUUGAGCACUCUAAUGAGACUGCCGGUGACAAACCGGAGGAAGGUGGGGAUGACGUCAAGUCCUCAUGGCCCUUAUGGGUAGGGCUUCACACGUCAUACAAUGGUACAUACAGAGGGCCGCCAACCCGCGAGGGGGAGCUAAUCCCAGAAAGUGUAUCGUAGUCCGGAUCGCAGUCUGCAACUCGACUGCGUGAAGUUGGAAUCGCUAG